AUCUUUCGAUUCGAACCAUUUAUAAAACGAAUAUUGAACAUUUCAAAUCAACGACCAAAGAAUAAUCCAGAAAGUAUCAUUGUGAGUGCAACCAUAUAUUCUAUUGAAACUUUGUCAAAAAGCGAUAUCAUUUCUUCUCGAUUACCAAUCCGUUACCAAUCGAUCAUCGAAUCGUUGAUUUUGUCGUUUCGAUCCAACCACGAGAACUGCGAGUGAAUCUUGGCGCAUAAAAUAACGCAAGAUUUUGGAAACGGAUCGAUUUACGGAUCGUUUUCGAAGAAAGCAUAUUUUCGAUCUUUGUCUUUAGGAACCAGUUCUCGAUUCGUAUAUUUCACGAACAAAAACAGGAAUUGUAAAUAGCAGUUGUCGAGAGCGAAGCCUUUUUCACUACACUGCACAUCCACCGAGGAAACGAUGCCUUAUGGCGAGCUGUUCCACGGUCAUACUACGGCCAUGGUGUGUAGGCAUCGUUGAUGGCCCGUUUCAAACUGAGGCCCGCCGAGAGAGAACCAUUCCUGUUCCCAUAGCACGUGGCUUCUCUCUUUUGCUCUCUCCCUCCCUCGCUCGUGCCCCCACUAUUCACAAUCCCCAUCACUCCCUCUCUUUCUCUCUUACUCUUCCCCGAUCCUCUUCCUCACUCCUUGUUACCUCAGCACACGCAUUCGCUCUUUCUUUUUUUUCCUCUCUUUCGAAUCCCCAUGUAGAUACGAUAUACCUUCCCUUUAACAGAGUCUCUGCUGUACGUUUCAUCUCGCAAUAUUCCUAUCUAUCCGUUUUCCCUUCGUUCUCGCAACGUAUUUCGCUACUCGCGCCCUCUACUUCUCAUACCGUCAUCCCUUUCUCUCGUUCAUCUUUCCACCAUCUCUGUUCUUCUCGAUAUUAAACCCCAGAUUCAUCCCUUCUCGUCUGUUCGUGUACACCCCCAUAGAGUCCUGUUCGUUCUUUGCCCUCGAAUCUCCCAAUCCCGUUUACUCUCUUCUCCGUUCUUCUCUUUUCAUCGUUUAUCUAUCUUUCUCCGUCUCUCUCUCCAUCUCAUCUCCCGUACGUUAGUACCUACUGCCUCCGUCAAUUUCCCCACUACACCAACCGACCAAUGAUAUCGUUGGCCUUCCAUAAGAGCCAGCCAAUCUCUGACGAGCGUUUACUAUUGUAGAUUUUUAAAUCAUUUUUAUGCGUGCAUACCUUCAGCACGUGCACGUACGAAGUAUUGUGUCGAGACGCAACAAUACAUUCUGUGUACGCCCGUAUGAGUCUCGUACGCAAAGAGUUCAGAGUGUGUAUUUUCUAUUUGUAUAUAAGCGUGUAUACAAAUCGUGUAAACGACAAUUUUCUACAGAGUGGUUCGAAAAAUCUACUUAAUUGGCAAUUCAAACGAUAUAUAUAUACAUAUACGCAUUAAUGGAUUCAUGGAAGUUACUAAUGUGCGUGAAAUUGACAUACGAGAUGAAGGUUAAAAGUCAAUAAACUAGAAUGCACGCGUAUAAAGCUUCUUGAAUGACUUGAUAUUUAUCUUUUCAACUUGCUUCGUUCGUUUAAAAUGCAUAUAAAUAAACUACGUAUUAUCGUGUUUCA